GUGCACACUUCCACAGCACAUAUCCUACAACUGAAUUCCGGGAAGAUGAGCACGGCCCUUGUGUGAGGAUGACACACGUUUGUGAAGCUCUCUAUACUUUU
rnacentral:snRNA from 1 species